CAGAGUAGAGGCCGAGCGUUAAGUGCUGCCGGAUGGGAAGUUGCCGGCGGACGAAAAAUUCAGGAUUGAAUUUGCGGUUCGGCCUCGCGUCCGCUGC
rnacentral:ncRNA from 1 species